GACGAACGCUGGCGGCGUGCUUAACACAUGCAAGUCGAACGGAAAGGCCCUGCUUUUGUGGGGUGCUCGAGUGGCGAACGGGUGAGUAACACGUGAGUAACCUGCCCUUGACUUUGGGAUAACUUCAGGAAAUUGGGGCUAAUACCGGAUAGGAGCUCCUGCUGCAUGUUGGGGGUUGGAAAUUUUCGGCGGUUGGGGAUGGACUCGCGGCUUAUCAGCUUGUUGGUGGGGUAGUGGCUUACCAAGGCUUUGACGGGUAGCCGGCCUGAGAGGGUGACCGGCCACAUUGGGACUGAGAUACGGCCCAGACUCCUACGGGAGGCAGCAGUGGGGAAUAUUGCACAAUGGGCGGAAGCCUGAUGCAGCAACGCCGCGUGCGGGAUGACGGCCUUCGGGUUGUAAACCGCUUUCGCCUGUGACGAAGCGUGAGUGACGGUAAUGGGUAAAGAAGCACCGGCUAACUACGUG
rnacentral:rRNA from 1 species